ACAGAAGACGAAGAGCUGGAAUAGAGCUCGCCUCGGCUCUGCUGGCCUUGGCUGCAGCUCUUCCAGAAACCCGGGGCGCCCACAGAAGAAUCUCUUACCUGGCUCUCUCUUCAGGGAUGACAUCAUCGGCUCACACCAGUCUUCCAGGACCACCUUCUGGAUGCCAAGGCUGCUGCUCGAGUACCUGCUGUGCACCUCUACCUCCUGGUACCCCAGCCACUCCCUCAAGUUGCCUGCAUGUUAUAUGGCCUAGCCAAGGAGCACGGAUUCCAGGAACCCACUACCAUACAGAGCAACUCCUUGUGGACCCCCCUGGGAUCAGGACAGCGAGGGACAAGCGACAAAGAGGAUCAUCAGUGGCCAGCUAGUUUCUCUGGGGUUCAAACCUUGAACCAGUGCCCUAGUGAGGGGGCACUGGCCAUGGCCCUUGACCUUUGCUCUGCUUGUGUCUUGAGUCUGAGCCCUUUCCUGUACAUCUGUGCUCGUGUUCAUCUGCUAGUGAACUGGAGUGCUGCCCUCCCCGAGGAGGGUCGUCCCUUGUGACUGAUCAUGCUGUCCUAACAAUGUCCUGAGCAAAAGGGUCCCUUUGGGAACCUCUCAGGAGGGGGACCCGGGUCAGGGGCGACCAGCAUCUUGCUGGCAACUCCGUGGGUGGGGUGGGGUGGGGUGCUUCCUUCUGGAAUGAGCACGUGGCUGACCCCCCAAGGCAUGUCCCCUCCCCCUCCUCCACCCACCUUCUCGGAGAUGUCCCUUUUGGGGUAGUGGGGACAUUAGGAGCAACCUCCUAGGGUUGUUGUGAGAAUUAAAUGAACUGCAGCAGCCUGAGGCAGGGCUGGGCAGAGACCUCAGCACAUGUUUGUUGAAAGGUUUGCAGGUGGAUCUAGUCCUCCCGUUCAUGGCUCAUGUGUCUCAACCAUUCUCUCGCAGACUCCUGCAGCCCCUAUGCCCAGGGCUCUCCUUGCGCCAGCCCCGGCUUCUCGAGGCCUGUCUACACUCGCUGCUUUCCUUCCUCACCUCCAAUUUCCCCUCCAACCCACUGCUUCCUGACUCGCUCUUCUCCAUCGAACGGCUCUCGCUCAGGCCUGUCGCGUCUUCCUGUGCCAUUUGCUGUUGUGCUCAGGUUCCACGAGCUGCCCAUCUCCACAGAAGAGCAGCUGGCAUUGCCCACCGGCCAUGCCGGCUGAAGAAAAGAAGACUGAGGACCCCAGGAUGCCCAGCGCGAGGACCCCAGGAAGCCCAGCGCGAGGACUCCACCCACGACGCCCAGCGCGAGGACUUCACGCACAACACGUUGCAACCCUCCUGGAUUAGGCCUCUACAGCCACGGGGACGCCUUGCACAUUUCCUGUGGGACAUGCUGGACCCAAGACUCUGGACCCUGGCCUCCCCUUGAGUAGAGAGACCCACCUACUGACUGAUGAACUGCGCUGACCCUGGGGUCAGGCAUGUGGCCUUGAUCCCUACCCAUGGACCCUGAGACUUGGGGGGGUGGGAGAAAGGCUGUUGUGUCUUCACUGUUGAGUCUACAUCUGUGAAAUGGGCUCAGGUUCCUACCUCACAGGGCUGUUGUGAGGCAGCCGCAAUGUGCUUAGAAGCAUGGGGCCUAGUGGCUCAUGGUGCUUUCAAUAAAUUUCUUGUUUUAACUAAAGCAGU
rnacentral:lncRNA from 1 species